AGCUUACAAGCGAUACCACCACCUGGCUUGGCGAUGCCACCGCUUGGCCCAACCUUAGGUCACUGAAUUUACCUUCCAAUAGGCCCAAUUCAACCUUGAUUCAGGCCCAAUGGGCUCUUAAUUAAAUUACCAUGGUUACAUCCAAAACUAACUCAAUUAAACUCUAAAUUACUUAGUUUAAAAGUUUGAUUAAUGAAACCUAUA
rnacentral:lncRNA from 1 species